rnacentral:rRNA from 1 species
AGAGUUUGAUCAUGGCUCAGAUUGAACGCUGGCGGCAGGCCUAACACAUGCAAGUCGAGCGGUAGCACAGAGAGCUUGCUCUCGGGUGACGAGCGGCGGACGGGUGAGUAAUGUCUGGGAAACUGCCUGAUGGAGGGGGAUAACUACUGGAAACGGUAGCUAAUACCGCAUAAUGUCGCAAGACCAAAGUGGGGGACCUUCGGGCCUCAUGCCAUCAGAUGUGCCCAGAUGGGAUUAGCUAGUAGGUGGGGUAACGGCUCACCUAGGCGACGAUCCCUAGCUGGUCUGAGAGGAUGACCAGCCACACUGGAACUGAGACACGGUCCAGACUCCUACGGGAGGCAGCAGUGGGGAAUAUUGCACAAUGGGCGCAAGCCUGAUGCAGCCAUGCCGCGUGUGUGAAGAAGGCCUUCGGGUUGUAAAGCACUUUCAGCGGGGAGGAAGGCGUUAAGGUUAAUAACCUUGGCGAUUGACGUUACCCGCAGAAGAAGCACCGGCUAACUCCGUGCCAGCAGCCGCGGUAAUACGGAGGGUGCAAGCGUUAAUCGGAAUUACUGGGCGUAAAGCGCACGCAGGCGGUCUGUCAAGUCGGAUGUGAAAUCCCCGGGCUCAACCUGGGAACUGCAUUCGAAACUGGCAGGCUAGAGUCUUGUAGAGGGGGGUAGAAUUCCAGGUGUAGCGGUGAAAUGCGUAGAGAUCUGGAGGAAUACCGGUGGCGAAGGCGGCCCCCUGGACAAAGACUGACGCUCAGGUGCGAAAGCGUGGGGAGCAAACAGGAUUAGAUACCCUGGUAGUCCACGCCGUAAACGAUGUCGAUUUGGAGGUUGUGCCCUUGAGGCGUGGCUUCCGGAGCUAACGCGUUAAAUCGACCGCCUGGGGAGUACGGCCGCAAGGUUAAAACUCAAAUGAAUUGACGGGGGCCCGCACAAGCGGUGGAGCAUGUGGUUUAAUUCGAUGCAACGCGAAGAACCUUACCUGGUCUUGACAUCCACAGAACUUUCCAGAGAUGGAUUGGUGCCUUCGGGAACUGUGAGACAGGUGCUGCAUGGCUGUCGUCAGCUCGUGUUGUGAAAUGUUGGGUUAAGUCCCGCAACGAGCGCAACCCUUAUCCUUUGUUGCCAGCGGUCAGGCCGGGAACUCAAAGGAGACUGCCAGUGAUAAACUGGAGGAAGGUGGGGAUGACGUCAAGUCAUCAUGGCCCUUACGACCAGGGCUACACACGUGCUACAAUGGCAUAUACAAAGAGAAGCGACCUCGCGAGAGCAAGCGGACCUCAUAAAGUAUGUCGUAGUCCGGAUUGGAGUCUGCAACUCGACUCCAUGAAGUCGGAAUCGCUAGUAAUCGUAGAUCAGAAUGCUACGGUGAAUACGUUCCCGGGCCUUGUACACACCGCCCGUCACACCAUGGGAGUGGGUUGCAAAAGAAGUAGGUAGCUUAACCUUCGGGAGGGCGCUUACCACUUUGUGAUUCAUGACUGGGGUGAAGUCGUAACAAGGUAACCGUAGGGGAACCUGCGGUUG